CAUCGUGAAAUCAUUGACAUCGCUCCAACUCCCCACACUCGCUGCUGAUAUGAGGGACACUUCCAUAUCUUUGGACAACUUACCUGCCAGCUCUUUAACGAAAGGGAAUAUCUCUUUUAUAGAUAUCGCUCUCUUUACACUUUCCGUAUGUUCCGAUACCCAUUGAACCUUAAUAACCUCCAUCAUCGGCCCCAGACUACUCCAGCAAGACAAGUACAAGGGGUCAUGAGAAGCUAUUCUCCUGAGCAACUUACAAAACUCCAGCACUAUGGGUGCACAGCGCGAUCGCAAAGACUUUGG
rnacentral:lncRNA from 1 species